GUACACGCUGUGACUAGCAUAUCAAUAAGCGGAGGAAAAGAAACUAACAAGGAUUCCCCUAGUAACGGCGAGUGAAGCGGGAAGAGCUCAAAUUUGAAAUCUUAAAGGGUUUCCCUUUACGAAUUGUAGUUUAAAGAAGUGUUUUCUGUUGAGGUUUUGGUAAAAGUUCUUUGGAAUAGGACAUCAUAGAGGGUGAGAAUCCCGUAUUUGACCUUUACUUUCAACUUUGUGAUACACUUUCAAAGGAGUCGGAUUGUUUGGGAAUGCAGUCCAAAAUGGGUGGCUAAAUUUCAUCUAAAGCUAAAUAUUGGCGAGAGACCGAUAGCGAACAAGUACCGUGAGGGAAAGAUGAAAAGAACUUUGAAAAGAGAGUUAAACAGUACGUGAAAUUGUCAAAAGGGAAGCGUUUGACACCAGUGUUGUUUUCCUGAAAAUCAAUUAAAGAACUGUUUAUGCUAAGUUGUUUAGACUUUAUCAGCUAACUGUUUAGUUUUGAGCUUUUCUUUAAUGCACUUUUCAGUUAACAAGUCAACAUCAAUUUCUUUUGCUGUAAAAAAGCUUGAGGAAGGUGGCUUGAGAUUCGUCUUAAGUGUUUAUAGCCUCUUGCCUAUGCAGUCGGAGAGAUUGAGGUCUGCAGCGUAGAUCCUUCGGGGCUAAAUGCAUUUGUGCUAAGUUAUAGCAUUUUAUAGACAACUUGUUGACUAUGAUUUGUCUUGUAGCUUACUCGCUUAUGUUAUUUUACCUACGCUUAGGAUGUUGAAGAUGUAGCACAUCAU
rnacentral:rRNA from 1 species